UCCUUUCUCCUUGUAAAUCUCCCCCUAGUUUAGGACAUAACUUAUCAAUAGUUGAGGACAUACCCUCUUCACAAAAAGAAAAUCCAGAAACCAUGGAUAUUUUUAAGUAGUAUCCGAACUCAUAAAACAAAAAUGGCAUUUACUUAUUCAGAUUUCAGUUUUUUGUACAUGAGGUAUAUCAAGCCCUACACCCCAAGACCCAGCUCCAGCAAGGGUGUCACCUCUGUCCAUUACAGGCCAGUCACUGGGGCAUCACACCAGUUACACACCAGUUACAGUACCUGUGACCUCUGGCUCUGGCCCCAGAAAACGUGUACUGGUUAAUGAGGCACACCUGGUGGCACUGCCCACCUGCUUCUCAGUAUCAGAUACAGGAUCACAAAUGUAAUAGUCAUAAGAGCAAUAGAAGAUUUUGGAAUAACCUUUUUUGUAUUAUUAUUUUUAAGACUUUUUUGAACAACUUGUUGGAGUGGAGAUGUACAACAAAUUACACAGCACCAUAUUUAUUAGCAUAGAUAAGAAAGCAUGUUAUCUUGCAUGGGCUAUCCCUGGUGUUAGUUUAAAAAAAGGUAAAGAGGCUGCUGCUGUCCUCCCCUGAGGAGCCAGCCCCCUCAGCAAUCAGUGUGACUCGCACCACCUGGCACCCUGCCACAGAGCAGCCACUUGGCCUUUUGAAGAGCUUGCUGCCACAUCCCAUGGCAUGAGGUGAGCCACUGCUUCCAUUGUUUUGGGUGGAAAAGGAGUAAAAACACACCAUGAAUUGGCUGAGGUAGCAGGGAAGGAGGGUGGGGAUCAGGCAGACAGUUUAGCAGCCCCUGCAGGGUGAGACAAUAGGGCCGCCAUUACACGGGGAGGCAGGUGGGCCGCCAUUACAGGGGCAAGGCAGGGCAAGGCAGACUUGAUGCUGCUCAUCCUCCUGAGGGUGAGGGCUGAGUUGUACGGCCACGACAGAAAGCUCAAGGUGGCAUGUGGCUGUAGGGAAGGGAUGGGAACACCUUGGGGCUGCUGGGAGCGGGUCUGGGGGCAGCCUUGGCCCACCAGCAUGGCAGCAGCCAUGUUGUGUCACGCCACGCGGGCUGCAGGGCUGAGGCCACCUCAGUGAAAGCACAGAGAGCUAACCUGCCAUCUGCAAGGAUUUACUGUGUGAGGCCAUUGUCCUACAAAGUUUUCUGGAGAUGAAGUCUUCUAGAGGGAAGCUCUGAGAAAUGUCAGUCAUUCCUGAAUGAUUACUGGCUCAGAUUUCCACCCUAAGCUUUCAUCCAUCACGCAGUACAGAGCAAUCUGUCGGCCUGUUCACAGGAGACAAAAAGGUAAAAGUAAAGAGAUAAUGAUGGCAAGACAGUUCCCUAGCUAUCACUUUAAAGCAGGUGGAAAUUUACUGUUAAACCUACCUAUUUACAAGUGAUAAUAUGAUUUUGAAAAUACAGUCCUUUUUGCUGAUUUAGUAAAAACUAGAUGCAAAUUAGCAUUUUGGAUCCAAUUCUGGCCAGGUUUCUCAGGCAGCUUUGAAGAGGUCACCUUUUGCUCUGACUGUCAGUAAAGUAUUACCCUGCAAAGUUGUGCAUGUUAAGAUGUUUGCAGUGGUGUAUGUCUAAUGGUAUUUGUCCUGUGUCCCUAAUUAGCUGAGAAUGUCUCAUGUGAUUAGAGAGGUCAGCUCAUAUGAAACCCCGUUCUCCCUCUUUUUCAAAAUGAGAAACAUCUUGUGUUACUGAAUUUGUUUUGAACCAUUAGUUCAGGUGUUAAAAUACUACGGGCGUGUCGCAGGGGUAAUAAUUGAGGCAUAAGAAAUGUCUCAGGGAAGACAUCACUCCAAAAUACAAUGUGCCUAGAAUUAACAUCAGAGUGCUGGAACUGUUAAAACUGUAAAAACUCAGGAGAUCAUUCUUAGUCUUGCCAUCUUUCGUAAGUCGUGUUUCCAAAAGUUGUGUGUUGUAGCAAGUCAGAGGACAAGAUACAAACAAUUUUCCAUUGGCAACUGUUCUUACGGAGCCUGGGGAGGAAAUGCCCAUCAGGAGAACCACAAAGAGGGAUGUAGGUUGU